UUGAAUUUCUAGGUAUAAAAUGAAACUGCCUUCCUUGCCACGACCGUUUUUGAGGGGAGCCCCGCGACGUAAAGUCGUGCGGCGAGCCGUUAUCUGCCUGAGUAUGAGCGACCUAGUUGCAACACGCCUCUGUUAGACAGAUAUAAGAAAUCUCGGAAAUGCGCAAGGUCAAAUUUACAUCACACAUUUUAGUCUGAAUCUUUUUGUUGUUCAAAUGAACUCCAAUAUGAAUUUUUUAAA
rnacentral:misc_RNA from 1 species